rnacentral:rRNA from 1 species
GACGAACGCUGGCGGCGUGCUUAACACAUGCAAGUCGAACGGAAAAGCCCUGCCUUUGUGGGGUGCUCGAGUGGCGAACGGGUGAGUAACACGUGAGUAACCUGCCCUUGACUUUGGGAUAACUUCAGGAAACUGGGGCUAAUACCGGAUAGGAGCUCCUGCUGCAUGGGGGGGGUUGGAAAGUUUCGGCGGUUGGGGAUGGUCUCGCGGCGUAUCAGCUUGUUGGUGGGGUAGUGGCUUACCAAGGCUUUGACGGGUAGCCGGCCUGAGAGGGUGACCGGCCACAUUGGGACUGGGAUACGGCCCAGACUCCUACGGGAGGCAGCAGUGGGGAAUAUUGCACAAUGGGCGGAAGCCUGAUGCAGCAACGCCGCGUGCGGGAUGACGGCCUUCGGGUUGUAAACCGCUUUCGCCUGUGACGAAGCGUGAGUGACGGUAAUGGGUAAAGAAGCACCGGCUAACUACGUG